rnacentral:rRNA from 1 species
GACGAACGCUGGCGGCGUGCUUAACACAUGCAAGUCGAACGAAGUGGCGAACGGGUGAGUAACGCGUAAUCAACCUGCCCUUCAGAGGGGGACAACAGUUGGAAACGACUGCUAAUACCCCAUACUGAAGGAGGGGAUUGCGUCUGAUUAGCUGGUUGGAGGGGUAACGGCCCACCAAGGCGAUGAUCAGUAGCCGGGCUGGUAGGAUGAACGGCCAAAUUGGGACUGGGACACGGCCCAGACUCCUACGGGGGGCAGCAGUGGGGAAUCUUCCGAAAUGGAGGAAAGUCUGACGGAACAACGCCGCGUGAGUGAUGACGGCCUUCGGGUUGUAAAGCUCUGUUAGUCGGGACGCGGUACCGGAAUAGAAAGCCACGGCUAACUACGUGCCAGCCGCCGCGGUAAUAC